rnacentral:rRNA from 1 species
GACGAACGCUGGCGGCGUGCUUAACACAUGCAAGUCGAACGGAAAGGCCCUGCUUUUGUGGGGUGCUCGAGUGGCGAACGGGUGAGUAACACGUGAGUAACCUGCCCUUGACUUUGGGAUAACUUCAGGAAACUGGGGCUAAUACCGGAUAGGAGCUCCUGCUGCAUGGUGGGGGUUGGAAAGUUUCGGCGGUGGGGGAUGGACUCGCGGCUUAUCAGCUUGUUGGUGGGGUAGUUGCUUACCAAGGCUUUGACGGGUAGCCGGCCUGAGAGGUUGACCGGCCACAUGGGGACUAAGAUACGCCCCAGACUCCUACGGGAGGCAGCAGUGGGGAAUAUUGCACAACGGGCGGAAGCCUGAUGCAGCAACGCUGCGUGCGUGAUGCCGUCCUUCGGGUUGUAAACCGCUUUCGCCUGUGACGAAGCGUGAGUGACGGUAAUGGGUAAAGAAGCACCGGCUAACUACGUG